GACGUAGGGCGCGAGCGUUGUCCGGAUUUAUUGGGCGUAAAGCGCGCGCAGGCGGUCUCUUAAGUCUGAUGUGAAAGCCCACGGCUCAACCGUGGAGGGUCAUUGGAAACUGGGGGACUUGAGUACUGGAGAGGAGAGUGGAAUUCCAUGUGUAGCGGUGAAAUGCGUAGAUAUAUGGAGGAACACCAGUGGCGAAGGCGGCUCUCUGGCCAGUAACUGACGCUGAGGCGCGAAAGCGUGGGGAGCAAACAGG
rnacentral:rRNA from 1 species